AAGGUUACGUUCUUUCGAUUCGGCACCACCUUCCGCGAUUAUUCUUCCUGUUUUUGCAGUGUUCUGGGGUUGCAGAGCUUUUCCUGAGGCCACAACCCAGCCACAAUCCUAACCUUACCCUGUUAGACUUCACCAUCAAGGCGUCUGGAAGCCUGAGAGUUUAGAACGCGAAGAGCCUUAAAGGCCUUCUCUAAUCCCUGCAUUUCUAUUCGAGGAAGCUAAAGCUUCAGUGGUGAAAUGGUUUGUGUAGACAGCCGUUAUCGAAUUGACUUGGCCGAGAACUACUUUAUCUUUGGAGGAAAAACAACUUGUGUUAUCUUUUCAGCAAUUAAAUAUCACAUAGCGAUUUCUUAAGCAACCUCUCAUCGUGUGAUCCGCCCUCUUUCCUCCCUGACCACAUCACCUAUUACUGGGCAUUUCUCCUAUAUUGAUGUUUAUUUUCUCCUCUUAGAAUGUAAGGUCCGUCUGCCUGAAGUCUGGCACUUGGUUGGUAUUUGUUGAGUGAAAGAAUGCCUGAUUAUGCUAGCAUUAAGCAAUAUUUUAGAGAGAAAAAAAAGAUGCUCUACAAACUAGAGAGGAAUUAUUAACAGGAUCAUUUUAUUUACAUUAAUAAAUGCCUUAGCUCUGAGACUUCUGAAACUUCAAUGAACAUAUGAACCACUUGUGGAUCUUGUUAAAAUGCAGGUUGAUUUAACUGGUCUGAUUCAGCUGGGUCUGGAGAUUUCUGCAUUUGUAACAGAAUACACAGAGAAUGCCCGGGGCCUCUGACUCUGAGACCAUACUUUGAAUAGGAAUGCUUCAGCUCCAUCUAGACCAAGUUUGGGGGAAUAUUUUGCUUGGUAUUUAUGAUGCCCGCUGUCUUAGUCUGUUUGGGCUGCUUUAACAAAAAACCACAGACUGAAUAGCUUAUAAACAACAGAAUUUUACUUCUCACAUUAUGGAGGCUUGAAGUCAAAGAUCAAAGUGCCAGCAUUAUCAGGCACUCUUCUGGGUUAGAGACUUCUAGUUGUGCCCUCCCAUGUUGGGAGAGGGAGAGAACUCUCUGGAGCCUCAUUUAUAAGGGUGCUAAUCCCAUUCAUGAUGUUUCCAUCGUGACUUAGGCACCUCCCAAAGGCCACAUCUCCUAAUACCAUCCCCUUUGGGAGUUAGAAUUUCCACAUCUGAAUUUUGGCGGGGGGGGGGGGGGGGCGCAGACAUUCAAACAUUAUCACUACUAUAUGAAAGGCACCUAGUCAUUGCAAGCAUGCAAGGAUGAAUAAGAACUGAUCUUUGCUGUGUAGGGGUUUAUGGAGUAGGACAAAACAUAGUCCAGUUCAGUAACUAUUUUUUAGUAGCCAUCACUGGUUGGGCUAUCCAUGAAAUGGACCCAGCAGGGGAGAUUGGCAUGCAAAACACGCUGUUGUGUGCUCUUGGGAUCAACCUCUGUGAAAGGGAGGGGGAGGAAACAGGAUUGAGCAGAGGGAGAGAUUGAUCUGUGAUAUCAUCCUAACAAAGGCUUCAGGGGACCUCUGGGAGCUGGGAUGGCCUUUGAGAGGGAAGGAUCAUGAGUUGAUAUGAGUGGCUAGGCCUUCACCUCCCAACAUUGAUUGGUCGUUGGAUACACACCACCCCUGGAAGGAGACUUGAUUUGAGCUUGUCCAUUUCUUUAACUGAGGCAUUAUCCAAAGAGGGCUGACAGUUAAAGGGUUUUGCUAGCACUACUCCCAGCAGCAAGGAGGGAUGGGGCUAAGUCUUCUGUUCCUAAAGGGGGAUAUGAUCAGAGCUUCAAAGUCAGCAUCCACCAUAGUACCUAUCCUUCUGAGGCACCUUGCUAGCCGCUUGGAGACUAAAGACGUUUAUUAAUUCACUAAAUAUUAUUGAGUGCCAUUAUGUCUAUGCAACCCUGUUAUGCAACAGGGUACAGACCUGAAUAAGACCGAUAUGCCCCCCGCCCAUGGUGCUUACAGUCUAUGAGCGAUUAAACAAGCAUUGAUCAAACUAUCACAUAACUAAGUACUAAAAUUGUGGUCAUCCUUAUCAAGGAGACCAGUGGAUUUACAGGUGAGUAAACAGAAACUUAGUUUAGUCUAAGUUUGAAGGAAAUUCUCUCUUAAGGAAGUUAUAAUCAUGACCUGCAAGAUAAGAGGGAAUUCAUUUGGACAAAACUGGGGCAUGGGGACUCACAGGCUAGUAUGAGAGGUAAGAGGAUGAUCAGUAAAAUAUAUUUUAAAACCCAGUAUAUAAAUCUUACAUAGCCACACAGAAAGCAAAUGAGCAGUGCCAGUUUCCUUGGUAAAAAUCUUGUGCCUAUCCAAGUAUAUCCUUGAACAUCCAAGUAUAUGUUGGUCCCCACUAUGUCCUCUGGUGAGUUUUUAAAGCCAAAAAACAAAACAAAAGAAAACAAACCCAAUGUAGGGUAAGGGGUGAAUAAGUCCAAAGCCAAGUGUGAACCGAAGUGGCACUCAGAAGCUAAGGCUGCAUUUUAUAGGUCAAAACAGGAAAUUAAUAGCCCAAAUAAAAUAAUUUAAGAUGCUAGAACUAUGAUGUAAUGAGAACAGAGAGUGAGUGUGCAGCACAAGCUAUGCACUUUGGGCUCCUGGCAGGCAUUGUGUAUUUCCUUCCUUUUUCCUCUGGAGCAGAAAGGUCUGCCAGUUUCCCUUUAAAGGCCACAAACUUUCCAAUUAUUCUAUGAACUAUUCUAUUCUAUUUCCAAUUCUAAUUAUUCUAGGAACUAUGGCUAACACUUCCCCACCCUCUCAUACUUUACCAUCGCCUCUAUCCUGCCCCUUACCUACAUUUUCACCACAGCACUUAUUACCAUCCAUAUGUGUGUAAAUAUAUAUAUCUCCAGAUAUAUAAGUACUGAAAUGGUGGUAAUCAUUACCAAAGAGAGCAACGAGGUUAUUAGAGCAUAGAUUCUCUCUCUCUUCCACUAGAAAGUAAGCGCCUUAUUUUCUUCACUGCUAUACCUUGAGAAGCACCUAUCACUACACGAAUAUUUAUUGAAUAAAUAUAUGAAUGACAAAGCAAGCUUGUGAAUAGAUGUGGGAUUAGAACAGAUACAGUUAAAUUUAUGGUUGAUGAAGCUAUAAUUGGGUCACUGAUGAGAAUUUAGACCAUUUGUUCUUGCCCAGAACACAGCCCCCUUCCAAGGAAGGCUGUCAUGCUACAUCUAAUCCUAUCAUAUCAACCCCUGACUCAAAGGCAAUUGUCCAUAGACUGCAAAGUCUUUUAGUAGAUAGCUUGUCCUGAAGCAUUGCCUAAGAGACGCCAUAUGUAAGAUGGUGACUGUGGCAGAAAUUGUUCACUAGCUGAGUGCUAAUAACGUUUCUCAGGAUCCUUCUACCUUUCUGUCUUCUCACAGAGGCUAUAAAACUCAAUACUCACCUUCCCAACCUUCAUGGCAGCUACGUGUAGUCACGUGACACGGUUCCGGUCAAUAAGACGUAAGCAGAAGCCUGUGUGUGUGCGUGUGAGCAUGUGGUGGAUGCGAAAGGAGAACUUGCUAGCCUUGACCCUUCUCCAGUCUUCCUGCCUGAACUGUAGAUUCAUGAUACAGCAGUCCUCCUGCAACCGUGAAGCAACAUGAUUGAGGAUAAAAAAGCCAACAGCUAAAAAUGGAAGAAUAAAAAGAAAGCCUGAGGAGUCAAUGUUAGCAUCAAGCGGCUGGACCAAUGUCUGCAACCACCAACCUCUGGACUCUUGUUUUAGGAAAAAAAUAACAAAACCCUAUUGAUUUAAGGUACUGCCAGUUUGGUUUUCUGUUAGUUGACCUGAGAUUUUUUUCACACUCCUUGUUAGGACACCCUAAAUAAAUUCUCAUUCAGAGAGCUGGAAUGUAAACCACAAGAAUGGAUGGGGUUAAGUGGGAAAGAAAAAAAAAAGAGAGAGCGAGAGAGAAGCAACUGGGACACCUGGGUGGCUCAGCGGGUUAAGCGUCUGACUCUUGGUCUCGGCUCGGGUCAUGAUCUCAUGGUUGGUGAGGUCAAGCCCUGAGUCAGGCUCUUUGCCAACAGCGUGGAGACUGCUUAGGAUUCUCUCUCUCUCCCAGUCUCCCUGUCCCUCCCUGUUCCCCGCAUGCUCCCUCUCUCUCUCUCUCAAAAUAAAUAAAUAAAUUUUUUUUUAAAAAAAAAGGAAAGAAAGAAAGAAAAGAAAAAAAAAGAAAAAGAAAGCAGCCAACUCAAGGACAGAAAGUAGAACUUUAAACAAUUUUUUUAAAAUGCUUAUUUUUGAGAGACAGACAGAGUGCAAGCAGGGAAGGACAGAGAGAGAGCGAGACACGGAAUCCGAAGCAGGCUCCAGGCUCUGAGCUGUCAGCACAGAGCCUGACGCAGGGCUCGAACUCACGAACUGUGAGAUCAUGACCUGAGCUGAAGUCAGCCACUUGACUGAGCCACCCAGGCGCCGCAAGAAGUAGAACUUCAGCAUACAAAGCAAAGGUGAUCUGUCAUUGAGGGGGAACAGGAGGCCCCAGUGUUGGGACUGCAACAGUCUCCAGAAGCUUGCUGGCCCUGCUGUGUACCCUGACCAGUGCUCCUUCCCUGUGGCCCCUGAGGACCGGUGCACUGGUGACUGUUUCCUCUUCUGACUUUCUGGCACAUCUUCAUCCAAAUCCCUGGUCACUAAAGCUUGAUUCUUAGUCUGGCUGGAAGGACCUUGAAGGGGACAAGAAAUUCUUUCUUCCCAACAGGUAUGUACUUUUCCUAUCAACUAAAAUAAAAUGACUGUAUCUUUCAUUGAUUGCAGUAAACAGUUCAAUGUACAUUUCAAUGAUUGCAAAUAAUAAAUCUGUUAGCAUCAUCAGCUUGCAUUUCCCCUGUUUUUGCCUUUAUAGCUCCUGUACCUACAGACCCCCAAAUUCUGCACCUCCCCUAUGCCCCAUUCCUUACUCAUUCACAUCAGGUGUAAGUACAUCAACAGGUUGGUAGAAGAUCAUAACAAGAAUUUGCUUUUUUCUAAAUUGAGAUAGAGUUGAUAUAUGCUGUCUAUCAAUUAUAUCAGUUACAGGUUAAUCAACUUUAUGUUACAGGUAUACAGCAUAAUGAUUCCAUAUUUGUAUAUAUUGUGAAAUAAUCACCACAAUAAAUCUAGCUAGUAUCUGUCAGCAUACCGAGUUACAGGUUUUUUUCCUUGUAAGAACCUUGAAGAUUUACCCUCUCAGCAACUUUUGAAUACAGUAUUAUUAACUAUAGUCACUGUGCUGUAUAUUACAUCCCCAUGACAUUUAUUUUAUAGCUGGAAGUUUGUACUUUGACUCCCUCCACUCAUUUCACUCCUUCUGCCCACCCACCCCCUGCGACUACCAAUCUGUUGUCUGCAUCUACAAAGAAGCUUGUCUAUUAAAAUUAAAAUACAAUGAAGCCAACACUAACCCUUAGGCUAAAAGUGGGAGGAACAGUUUAAUCAUGACCUAACUGGAGACAAUAGAAUAGUUUUAAAAAAUUGCAUCAAUCUGAGAGGAACAGUAAUGAUGGAAACAGAAAAAACUGCAGAGUCCUGAGAGGCAAAAUGGUUCAGUGUGUCCCCAGCAGAGCCCCAGAGAGAAUGUCCAUUCCUGGUUAUGCUCACAUUCAGCCCCUUUGCCAGAGAAUACAGGGGUGGGAAAGCAGACUGCCUGGGUUCAAAUCCCAGUCCCGUGUAGUAGCCCCGUGAUCCUGGGGAAGUUAUUAUACCUCUGUGUGCCUCACUUUCCUCCUCAGGGAAAUGUGGAUAAUAGUGAUACUCACCUCAACAGGGCAGAUGUGAGAGUUGAGCGAAUACAUGAGAGGGUAGCACAGGGCCUGGUCCUGAGAGGGCACAUGAGAAAUUACAGUCCACCUUUCUUUUCCCGGCAUCAACUAGUUACCGUUUCCUCCUCUUUUCUCUGGCCCGCAGUCCCAGGGCACCCAGGCGUUGGCAUGUGAUGCAGGCAGAACUAGGCCUUCCUGUGGCCAUUUUGGGGGUACUUGGCACUGAGCAGGCUGAGAAAGGAGGUAAGGACUGGCCCAAAACGGAAUUCCCAGAAGCAGGCCUGGGAGAGUAAGAGAUCUGACGACCUAGCCACGCCUCUGGGAAGCAAAAAGGCAAAUUAGGAAAAUCCGCUUCAGGAAGAGGACAGUUGGUGUCCAGCACAGUUUUUGUACACGUUCUAGGCACAGCGCCUCAGGAAAACUGGAAAUCAGAGGAGACAUUCAGGAGGUGAAUGGGCCCCAUGUCUGACUGAGCGAGGAUGAAGACAAAGCCCUUGUUGGCAGGGCUCAACCUCACGGGAAACAAGAUUUCGAACUUCUCUCUUAUUAGUGCCUCAAAAUUUUCGGCAACUCCCUAGUUUCAUUACAAAAUGGCGACCGUAAUGAUGACUGUAUUAAAUUUAUAUUUCUUUUAGGGAAAGGGAUGAAAAUUCAGAAAGAAUAAUCUGUUGAUGGUAAAAAUUGUUCUCAUCUUCUCUGUGGAAGAAUUGCGGGGGUUUUAAAUCAGAGCCCAGAAGUUUAAACAGCUACUAGCAAUGAAUUUCCUUUUUAGAAAGUGUUACAUUGUAAUCAUUACGUCAUUAUCACUUCAAAAGGUUUGUUCUUUCAACUUUGUGGUUUAAAAUGUGUGUGUUAAAUUUGUCAGCAGUGAAAAGGAGCUGGGGAGUUCGCUGAACUGUAAUUGUGGUUUUUAGCGAGAAUACUCGGGAGAAUCCUCGCAUUGCUUGAGUCCGAAUGAAUGUCAGCAGACUCUUCUCUUUUCAAUGUACGAGCCUGAAACACAAAAGAGACUGGGCAUAUGAUCCAUUUUUAAGUGAUGAAGAUUUGGAUUUAAAAAAUCUGUAAACCCAGUCCCUUUUUCAGGUUAGGGAACAAGAAGGAGAAAAAGGCCAGAAGACGUUUUAAGAGUCUAGACUUGCCAAUAGCUACCUGUGGCUACCGAGCACUUUUAAUGUGCUCGGAUUCAGGCACGAAUUCUGGAUACGGACGACUCAGUACAAAAGGAAAAAGUAAAACAUAUAAUUAAUAUUUUAAACGUACGGAUUACACGCUGAAUGAUCAUGCCUGGAAUAUAGCGAGUUAAAAAAGGGUUCUCAAAAUUAA